CAACACCUUCUUCAGCGAAACCGGUGCAGGGAAGCAUGUCCCUCAUGCUGUCUUUGUCGACCUUGAGCCCACCAUGAUCGACGAGCUGUUUACAUGGGGUUGGAAUCAAAGAGGUACAUUAGGACAUCCACCAGAGACGAAAACAGAAAGCCAAUGUCAAGAUUACACUG